rnacentral:rRNA from 1 species
AUGGCUGGGGCCAGCAACAGGCGUGGAGCAGUGAUGGAGGAUUGGAUGCUCUCCACACCCAGCCCAAGAACACUCAUGUUGAGCCUGUUCAACGAUGAUUUCAGCUCCGGUCCCUUCUCCGAUGUUUCCAGUGACAGUGGCAGCAACAAACCUCACGAUGGAAUGGAGAGGAGCAAAGCUUCUGUCGGUUCGAGCCCGGGAGAAAGUUCUCAAGUUACAAAAACCUCUCUCCAUUUGGAACCAAACCUGUUUGAUGCUAAUGAGAAAUCAAGCCCAGAUAGUGGCAGUCCAGCAGAAAGGAACGGUUUCUGUGCACUCAAGAUUGACACUUCCCGUGUUGGUUUUUCCGCGUCGAUUCGGUCUCCUAUCAUAAUUCCACCCGGCGUGAGUCCAAGGGAACUUCUUGAGUCUCCGGUUUUUCUUCCCAACGCAAUCGCACAACCUUCUCCUACGACUGGUAAAUUGCCAUUUCUGAUGCGUACUAAUGCUAAAACAACAAUACAAUCGGUCCAUAAGAAGGCUCAAGAGCUAUCACAUGAUGAUCAUACAAUCUCCUUCCAGCAAAUUUUGAGGUCUAAACCAACUUUUUCAAUUGUCGAUAAGGAUCCCAGUGUUACUCAUCAAAACCAGCCCUCAGCAAGCGAGAACAAUCACCGUAUCCCCGAUAACGAACAAGAAGAUAGCAAGGCAAACAGAAAUGGAGAAGAUUGUCCAGCGACGGUCAUUGUUCGUGCUGAGGAUGGGUAUAAUUGGAGGAAAUACGGGAAGAAGCAAGUGAAGAAUAGUGACCAUCCAACGAGCUACUACAAAUGCAGUCACCAAAAUUGCCCUGUGAAGAAAAAGGUGGAGCGUUGUCAAGAUGGCGACAUAACGGAGAUAGUCUACAAAGGUUCUCACAAUCACCCUUUACCGCCUCCCGACAGGCGGCCAGGUGUCCCCUUCUCACACUCCAACGAUCUGCAAGCCGAUGGUGCAGAGAAUGCUCCGGAUGACCACUUCCAACAUGCGCACGGUGAAGUUCCUGCGACAAACUUGUCUGCUUCUCUUAGCAGAGAAGCAUUUGCAGACAGAUCAGCUACCCGAGAAGCUAUUGAUGUCUCGCCGCCGACACUCUCCGGUGAGGACAAUAACAGGGAAGCACAUGGUACUGUAUCUUCGGGCAUUGACAGGGACAAAGAUGUGACUGAGUCGAAGAGAAGGAUGAUGGAUUAUGUCACUCCAGCCACCGCCAUCGGUACUAUAGACAUAGGGGCUCUGGCGUCGAGAGCUGUCCGAGAGGCCCGCGUCAUCGUGCAGACCACAAGCGAGGUCGACGUGCUUGACGACGGUUACCGCUGGCGCAAGUACGGGCAGAAAGUUGUCAAAGGCAACCCAAAUCCAAGGAGCUACUACAAAUGCACGCACCCGAGCUGCCCGGUGCGCAAGCACGUCGAGAGGGCGUCGAAUGACCUGAAAUCGGUCAUCACAACGUACGAGGGCAAGCACACCCAUGAGGUUCCAGCUGACAGAAAAAAUGGCUGCCCAAGCUCAGGUCAUGGUGAUGUUGCGCCACCCCCACAAGCUGAUGGCCUCCACUGGAGGUCAGGACCAGCACAAGGAGGUAUCAUCCCUCAGUACAGUGGCGCUGCCGCUUAUGGCUCACUUGCGCAGCUCGGUGUAGCAGGUGGCUUCCCCUUCGGAGUGCUCCCCCAUGGCCUGGCGCUUGUUCCGGUGCCGGCGCAGAUGGCAGGCCAUCAUCCAUCGGCGAUGCAGGGAAACCCAAGGCUUGUGCUGCAGGCAAGGGAGGUGAAGGGGAAUCCGGCGGCACGGCCAGCAGAUCAGAGUGGAACUGGUCCGGCAGCUUACCAGCAGCUGAUGAGCAGGUUGUCUCAGGGUCCUAACAUGUAA